rnacentral:lncRNA from 1 species
CUGACGGAACAUGUAACACGUACAGUGUCUUUUAGAGGUAAGGGUGGACACCCUCCUCUGGGUCCAGUGGUACUGGUUUCCAGGACGCAAACGCAAUGGAUCGUUCAUGUUCCCAUUCAUUAAGAUGACAACCGUUUGACACUUGAUGCUGUGUUCUGAGAGUGACCGUUCGUUUAUAAACAGGUGAACGUACUAGGGAUCGAUUCGUCGAUCGAACAGAUUUGUGAUUUUCAUUGUACAUUUUAAUCCAAGCAUCUGUUUAUGUAUACCAAAUUAAUGUAUUUGUGAACUCACUAAAACGCCAAAAUACCGCUGCUUUAAACAAUUAAAUGCAAUAUCAAGAGUGAGUAUUCGUCAGGUAAUAACGUACUAACUGCGGGUAACUAGAUGAUCAUUAUUCCAAACGUUGCUUUCUAGGCGCACAACAUUACGAUAUAUGUAGCAAUAUGUGUAGUGUGUGUUGUGAAUGUUAAUCCAUUGCCUCUACAUGCGGUGAGCGGCAUAAGGUGUUUCAAUGGAAAAGUAUCCCCUUACUGUAGAUACGUGUACCACCAUUACCUGAUACCUAAUGGUCGUGUACACACAACACGUGUGGUGCGAGUGUGACUAGAUAGCGUCGUCUUAAUCCGUAUUUCGGUUUAUCAGUAUUUCGAUUUAUCAUAGUGUAUAGUGUACACUGAACUUGCAUCAACUAAUUACAAUAAAUUAAGGGUAGUCAUCGAGCCAUAACAAAUAGCUGGAAGACCUUGAGUUGCGUGUGACGCUGUAGUGAAAAUUAUUUUUCGGCAUACGUCAUUUGUACGGCAUAUUGAUUAAACAAAAAGGGACAAAUAUAUUUGAAGAAACAACAUAUGGUAAUAAACACAAGCCAAACACCUUUUAUGAAAUGAUUGCUCGAUGACUACCCUUAACUCAACCAAAUCAUAGCAACAGUGUUUCAGUUCCUUCCAUACUCUGCAGACAUGGCCAUCCGAUCCCCAUUGGUUACAGGAGAGAAAUAUUAUCAUGGAAUCCGUACGGGAUCGGCCUUUUGAGCUUGUUGGAACUUUUAGGUGAUCCAGAAGCAUUGACAGAGGCCAGAGUUGCAGACAGUGAAUUCUUAGUUGCCAAAUAUUGAUAGAUGAAUUUUAGAUUUGUUUUCAAGCCAAAUAAUAGCUUGUUAGUUGGUGCCUUUAAUACAGAUUAUAGCAUUAGCUGCAUCCGUUUCCUCGAUGACUGCCUAUGUCUAAAAAAAUUAUCACUAUCUGGUUAUUAUAAUAUGUAAUUGAGGAAACAUUGUUUGCGUUUUAAACAUGUGGUACCGGCAGAAGAGAAUCUGCAUAUGCUCAUAUAGUGACAGGAAUGUUUGACGAUCUACACUAGCGGACAAAUAUACUAUCUAUCUGGUGUUAUUAGCACCGUGGAAAGACUGUUUUCAUAACACUAACAUACGUAUGAAUUUAGAGUCAACCUGUGAACUAUGCGCUCAGGAAACAAUGUAAAUGUAUUCUUUAGCCCAAUCAAAUUAUUAUUAAAUUUAUCGGGUACAUAUAUCACAGUGUAUUCUUUCUCAUCCCUUGAAAUUGCUGCACUAUAUAAUAUGAAUUUAAACCAGUUAGUAGCUGAGUCAUUGCAUGUGCGCUGAAAAUAGUAAUUGUGAGGAUGAACGAAAAUUUGAAAAAUAACGUUAAUAAUUGAAUUUAUCCGUUAUUUUAAGAAAACGUAAAUCUCAAACAUAUGAAAGUAUUAGUAGUAAAAACAAAACUGCGAGGUUCAAAUCUAGCCUGGUUUAAUGCCUGUGCAGUUUUUAUCAUUUUGUAAGAAUUUAAAGAAUUAUUUGCGUAGUGUGUGAAAAACACGCCGAGAACGGUUACUUUUGUCCGGUAGUGUACUGAGUCACUUCUUCCGUCAUUCAGGAGACGGUAGGGCAUGAUUAUAGAAUGAUGUAAUUUAUAAUGUACAGCUUUAUCUCAAUGUUGUGUCUGUGAUAUUCAUGUGAUAUAUAUAUCCCUGUUUAGAUACAAAGGAGGCAUUGACAGUAGCAUUGCCUAUAUCUCAUUUUCAAUGUGUAUGGUUGUGUUUAUUUAUUUUGUUGUAGUCGUACAGCCACUGGCAAACAACGUAAGAAAUUCAAAUGCCAAGAUUCCUUUCUCAGUGUCCCUGUGUAAAUCUAUACAGUGAAAACCCGUUAAUUCCUAUCAAAUCACCCGGAUGAAAAGACUUUCGGAUCUACGAAUCAUAUUGGAAUCUGUACUGUAUCGUCUCGACUAGUUUUCCAGAUAAUAGGGGUCCGAUUUAAUGAGUUUUUUGCUGUGUGCAAUGUGUUUGUGUAACGUCCGAAAAAGUGCUUGUCGAAAUAAAUGCGCAGAUAAGGUGCGCAUUUGACACUUUGCUUUUAUAUCAUGAAGACGCCCAUUGGUUGAUUGACGUCAUGUGGUUUGUAUUUAUUGAUUUUGUUUACUGGAAGUAUCGUAUUUCCCAAAUUUGAUUGGUAAACGUACAAUACCCAUUUUUAAGCUAUAAUCAUAAUUGUACGCUGUCGAUGAUGUAUACCCUCUCCAAAUUAUUUAUUUAUGCAGAGUAUAUUUUAAAAAGCCAUGUUUUAUCACAUCAUUGUUAACUUAUUUCAAUAUAUAUUUCGUGCAAAUUUUUAAAGGAUACUCGUCGAUUGUAUGUUGACCAUUAAGUGUUAUUCAUAGCAACCUUCAGACAAAAUGCCUUCAGAAUUGUUCUCAAUGUAUGCGUUAAAGUAAUGUCUGGUCUGACAUUAUGUCGUUAGGAAAUAAUAACUGUCAAUACAGAGGAAAUGUCGAGCAUUGUUGCAGUCUCGUAUAUUUGACCGACACGGUAGUUGAGUUUGGUUACAAUACAGUUGUUACAUAUCAAGUUGACCUCACGACGGUGGCCAUUUGUUUGUUGUAUACAAGUGUGUAUUUAUAUACGGCACCCAUAAUAAACAAACAAUACAUAA